rnacentral:tRNA from 1 species
GCGGAAGUGGCGGAAUGGCAGACGCGCUAGAUUCAGGUUCUAGUGGGAGUUAAUCCUGUGAGAGUUCAAGUCUCUUCUUCCGCACUA